ACAGUCGAUCGGUCUAUACGGGCUCUUCCAGCUGUCUGACCAGUACUUCUGUAACUCAGGCUACCACAGGUCCAGGAACUUGUGCCGUAGCACCUGCACAGCCUUCACCGAUGACAACAUAAUGGAUGACAUUAAUUGCAUUGUGAGGACUCAUCACAUCUGGGCCAUAGUGAGUCACGCCUCUCGUCAGUGUUUUUUCGCACCGAACUUCUUUGACGAAUGUGCGUGAGCAGCUGACAGGUUUUCUACCUGCAGGAUGUCACACUGACGAUGAUUUCUUCAACGUUAUCAGCUCUACUUCCAGUGUGACAAUGGAAACACAUUGUCUCACAAACACUGUCAAGCAUUUUAUAUAUUUUCCAUUUUCAAUUAAUCAAUGAGAUUUCUUUAAUGAAGUUAUUUUCUCUCAGUUUUUUGUGGAUGAAUUUGAUCCCAAAAUCACCAGAACUUGAAAUGACAAAUGUAUCUCAGUAUCUCAUAUUAUUGUUUUACCAAUUUAAUCCACUUUAAAGUGAUAAUUCUGUGAUGAGAAAAACAAAUAACUUGAUUGUUAUCUGCUCUCUGUGAUCU